UACGGUAGGGGGCAAGCGUUGUCCGGAUUUAUUGGGCGUAAAGAGCGUGUAGGCGGCCAGACAGGUCCGUUGUGAAAACUGGAGGCUCAACCUCCAGACGUCGAUGGAAACCGUCUGGCUAGAGUCCGGAAGAGGAGAGUGGAAUUCCUGGUGUAGCGGUGAAAUGCGCAGAUAUCAGGAAGAACACCCGUGGCGAAAGCGGCUCUCUGGGACGGUACUGACGCUGAGACGCGAAAGCGUGGGGAGCGAACAGGG
rnacentral:rRNA from 1 species